rnacentral:misc_RNA from 1 species
AAGUCGUAACAAGGUCUCCGUUGGUGAACCAGCGGAGGGAUCAUUGCUGGAACAAACGCCCUCACGGGUGCUACCCAGAAGCCCCCUGUGAAUUAUACCUAAAAAAACCUGUUGCCUCGGCUUUUGGUUGCCUCCCUCGGGAGUCCCUUCGCAAGAAGGAGCAGACCGGCCGGUGGCCCCAUAAACUCUUGUUUUUGUAACAUCAUCUGAGUAAAAAACAACUAAAUGAAUCAAAA